AAGAGAGUGAACAAAGAGCAGGCAGAGCCAGGGCCAGGGAGAGAUGAAGAGAGUAAGAGAUGCAGAGACAACUGCUCCAUGACCAGGUCUUUGUCAUUCGACUGAACCCCACCAGGGACUCGUGGUCCCUAGCAGGGAAGCUACUCGUCCCCCCACUGUCUGGCCCACACACUGAGAUAGGAGGAGACACUUGACCACAGGGAGAGGAAGUAGAGCAUGGACGUAAAGGAAUAUUCAAAGAAAGAAAACAAUCCAUGACAACAAGAGAGACACAUGCCAUGGAGUAAGAAGAGAUAUCGGCCAGCUCCCGCGACACCAAGUCCAACACACUGAGCGGCAUGUCAAGAGCACUGACAGCCAUGCUAAUGGGAUUUUUCCACGGCUCCAUCAUAAUUUCCUUAAUGAU